CAAAAAGUUGAAGUAAAACUAGAGAAUGUUAAUAUUAAAAAAAAAAAGUAAAGCAAAGGUCCCCCUCUUGGAAUUCUUUCCAGAUGGAAGACAUAAGUUUCUUCGGCCCAAGAAGAAAAGGCCAAGCCGUGUGGAUGGGGAGAAAAUGGAUUCUAGAAUCAGUAUUUCUUUGUGAACUCUAAAGCCCUUUGGUUUAUCACACCGUCAUUAAUGAGGACACAAAACAUGGCUAAGUUGCACACAGAAGCCAGAGCAAGGGGGGCUGAACGGGGAGGCCCUAUCAGGGAUGAUAAUGGUGAUUUUACUGCUGCUCGUGGCCAUCGUGGUGGUUGCAGUCUGGCCGACCAACUAGUGGCCAUCCAGGGACCACCAACCAGGACACCUGCCAGUGAUGGAGUAAAGCCGAGCAUCCUCUUGGUACCCGAAAGCCGCUCUCAAUAAAUUCCCCCAAAGUUCUCACCUCGCUGUGCGUUGCUUCAGCAAAAACAAACCGGGUGGUGCCUCUGCUGAGGUAUCAAGCAGGAUGGCUCUUUGGGGUUCUGCCUUGGUCAUUGGGGUGCCCGCCCAAGGUCCCUCAGCGGUCACUGCCCCUUGGCCGCCAGUGGAUUCCGGCCACCCCUGCAGUGUCCCGGGCCACCUGUGGGAUGAUGCUGAACUCCAACUGAAUUCUUGGCGCUUGUGACCUGGAGUGUCUGGUCUGAUCCGGGCAGUCACAUGCCCACGUGGGAGACCAGCGAGCAGCCAAGGCCACGUGUGUCUUGGAGGGAGGAAGGCGCUGUGAUGCAGGUCAGCUGGGGGCCCAGACCUAGGCACAGGGGACAGCCCCACGGCUCUGGCAGAAGAAAGGGGACUCUGGACACCCUCGCACCAGCUGUGGAAUGCUCUGCCCAUGAGGGAAGCCGUCAGCUCUGCUCGCAGCUCACUGGCCGGACUGUCACCUGCCCUGCUCAAUGAGGGGACCAGGAAGUGCCCCGAAGAUUGAGAGCCUGAACUGGGCAGUGAUGGCCCCAGUGACCAGCACAUUGCUCGUUAGCUGUGUGACCACGGGCCAGGUGCCCUGCCUGGGCCUGUGUUUCCUCCUCUAGGAAAUGGAGAGAAGACGGUCUCCUGUCUCCAGGGCUGCCAUGAGGACCAGGUGAGUCAGCCCGUGUCGGCACAGAGCAGCCAGAGCGGCUCGGCAUAGUCUACACCUGCUGGGCCAGGCUGUCACCACGUCCAGGGCUCAGGCCUCCUCUCCAACCCAGCGCCAGCUGUCGUGAGGAUGUGAGAGAGCUGGGGCACAGCAGCGGUGCCCGCUGACCUCCCAGGCAGCCAGCCUUUGCAGACCUGGAGAGGCCCUGGAAGCGUGUUCAGACCGGGGACCGGAGGGUGGGGAGCAGGGCAGCCUUGAGCGGGAGCCCCACUGUAGGGAUCAGGUCAGGGUAGCAGAGGACAGGACAUGGAGGUGCGCUUGUGUCAAGGCCAUGACACCAGCAGAGGGGCCAGGCUGGACGGUGGGGGCGG